rnacentral:rRNA from 1 species
CGUGUAGGCGGUUUGGCAAGUCAGAGGUGAAAUGCCCCGGCUCAACCGGGGACCUGCCUUUGAAACUGCCGAACUUGAGGCCGUGAGAGGAGACUGGAAUUCCUAGUGUAGCGGUGAAAUGCAUAGAUAUUAGGAAGAACACCAGUGGCGAAGGCGAGUCUCUGGCACGGUUCUGACGCUGAUGCGCGAAAGCUAGGGGAGCGAACG